rnacentral:rRNA from 1 species
AGGACGAACGCUGGCGGCGUGCCUAACACAUGCAAGUCGAACGCGCUCCAUUCGGUAGCAAUACUGAUGAAGAGUGAGUGGCGAACGGGUGAGUAACACAUGAGCAACCUGCCCCGAAGACUGGGACAACACCGGGAAACCGGUGCUAAUACCGGAUAUCCCUAUCGGACCGCAUGAUCUGAUAAGGAAAUGGAUUCCGCUUCGGGAGGGGCUCGUGGCCUAUCAGCUAGUUGGUGAGGUAACGGCUCACCAAGGCAUCGACGGGUAGCUGGUCUGAGAGGACGAUCAGCCACACUGGGACUGAGACACGGCCCAGACUCCUACGGGAGGCAGCAGUGGGGAAUCUUGCGCAAUGGGCGAAAGCCUGACGCAGCAACGCCGCGUGGAGGACGAAGGCUUUCUGAGUUGUAAACUCCUUUCAGCAGGGACGAUAGUGACGGUACCUGCAGAAGAAGCACGGCCAACUACGUGCCAGCAGCCG